UUCCAGUAGGCAAAGAGUCCAUAGAGCCUAGGGCAUAUAACCACCCAGACCAUGCUCCAGGUGCCUGAACCCUGGGAGCCUCUACCCAAAUGGGCUAAGCCCACUCCCAGGGCCUGCACAUGGGUUGUUCUCCCUAUGGCCUAACAAAGGGCCCACUGGCACACCCCUAAUGCCCUGGGAGUAGGCAAGUGGUAGCUGUAUGUGUGAUGGGCACAGUCCUGAUGUGAGGUCAGGUGUCCAUCCUUCAUGGCUCCUCUCAGUUGCUUUUCAUGAGGAAGUAGAGAAAUCCACAUGGAAAAGAACUAAAAGCAGCCUCCAGUCAACUGCCUGCAAGAAACUGAAGUUCUUAAUCCAAAAGCCCUUGAAGAACUGAAUCUGAUCAACUGAAUUGAAUCCUGUGAGCUUGGAGGCACAUCUUUCUCCGUUUGAGCCUUCAGAUAAGACCACAGCCCUGGUUAACACCUUAAAUGCAGCAUGGGAGACCACAAAGCAGACAUCCCAGCUA